rnacentral:rRNA from 1 species
CAGCCGCCGCGGUAAUACCGGCGGCCCGAGUGGCGGUCACUAUUAUUGGGCUUAAAACGUCCGUAGCCGGGUUGGGAAAUCCUCCGGGAAAUCUGGCCGCUUAACGGUCAGAAUGCCGGAGGAUACUCCCAGCCUAGGGAGCGGGAGAGGCCGAGGGGAUUCCCGGAGUAGGGGUGGAAUCCUAUAAUCCCGGGAGGACCACCUGUGGCGAAGGCGCUCGGCUGGAACGCGUCCGACGGUGAGGGACGAAGGCCAGGGGAGCAAACCGGAUUAGAUACCCGGGUAGUCCUGGCUGUAAACGAUGCGGACUUUGUGUCGGACAAGCUAUGAGCUUGUCCGGUGCCGGAGGGAAACCGUUAAGUCCGCCGCCUGGGGAGUACGGCCGCAAGGCUGAAACUUAAAGGAAUUGGCGGG